rnacentral:rRNA from 9 species
AAAUUGAAGAGUUUGAUCAUGGCUCAGAUUGAACGCUGGCGGCAGGCCUAACACAUGCAAGUCGAACGGUAACAGGAAGCAGCUUGCUGCUUCGCUGACGAGUGGCGGACGGGUGAGUAAUGUCUGGGAAACUGCCUGAUGGAGGGGGAUAACUACUGGA